GAUGAACGCUGGCGGCGUGCUUAACACAUGCAAGUCGAACGGAAAGGCUCCUGCUUGCAGGGGUACUCGAGUGGCGAACGGGUGAGUAACACGUGGGUGAUCUGCCCUGCACUUCGGGAUAAGCCUGGGAAACUGGGUCUAAUACCGGAUAGGACGAUGGUUUGGAUGCCAUUGUGGAAAGUUUUUCGGUGUGGGAUGAGCUCGCGGCCUAUCAGCUUGUUGGUGGGGUAAUGGCCUACCAAGGCGUCGACGGGUAGCCGGCCUGAGAGGGUGUACGGCCACAUUGGGACUGAGAUACGGCCCAGACUCCUACGGGAGGCAGCAGUGGGGAAUAUUGCACAAUGGGCGCAAGCCUGAUGCAGCGACGCCGCGUGGGGGAUGACGGCCUUCGGGUUGUAAACUCCUUUCGCUGGGGACGAAGCGUUUUGUGACGGUACCUGGAGAAGAAGCACCGGCUAACUACGUGCCAGCAGCCGCGGUAAUACGUAGGGUGCGAGCGUUGUCCGGAAUUACUGGGCGUAAAGAGCUCGUAGGUGGUUUGUCGCGUCGUUUGUGUAAGCCCGCAGCUUAACUGCGGGACUGCAGGCGAUACGGGCAUAACUUGAGUGCUGUAGGGGAGACUGGAAUUCCUGGUGUAGCGGUGGAAUGCGCAGAUAUCAGGAGGAACACCGAUGGCGAAGGCAGGUCUCUGGGCAGUAACUGACGCUGAGGAGCGAAAGCAUGGGUAGCGAACAGGAUUAGAUACCCUGGUAGUCCAUGCCGUAAACGGUGGGCGCUAGGUGUGAGUCCCUUCCACGGGGUUCGUGCCGUAGCUAACGCAUUAAGCGCCCCGCCUGGGGAGUACGGCCGCAAGGCUAAAACUCAAAGGAAUUGACGGGGGCCCGCACAAGCGGCGGAGCAUGUGGAUUAAUUCGAUGCAACGCGAAGAACCUUACCUGGGCUUGACAUACACCAGACCGGGCCAGAGAUGGUCUUUCCCUUUGUGGUUGGUGUACAGGUGGUGCAUGGUUGUCGUCAGCUCGUGUCGUGAGAUGUUGGGUUAAGUCCCGCAACGAGCGCAACCCUUGUCUUAUGUUGCCAGCACGUUAUGGUGGGGACUCGUGAGAGACUGCCGGGGUUAACUCGGAGGAAGGUGGGGAUGACGUCAAAUCAUCAUGCCCCUUAUGUCCAGGGCUUCACACAUGCUACAAUGGUCGGUACAACGCGUCUGCGAGCCUGUGAGGGUGAGCUAAUCGCUGUAAAGCCGGUCGUAGUUCGGAUUGGGGUCUGCAACUCGACCCCAUGAAGUCGGAGUCGCUAGUAAUCGCAGAUCAGCAACGCUGCGGUGAAUACGUUCCCGGGCCU
rnacentral:rRNA from 1 species